CGGGCGCCUCCGGAGCUGCGCAGGGCUGAAGAAGGGGGACCAGCCAAGGCGGGCUCUGAGGGACCCUGGCCCGGAAUUGGAGCAGGUGUGCCGGCCUUAGGUCAGAGGUGCCUGCUUAUCCACACCUGACAGCACUUCUCCACUCUGGCUCCAUGAGGCCCGAAGUUUUUGAAUCAGCAUCUGAGUCAGUCAUGCAUCUUGUCUCAGGAUGUUGGCGUUCCAAGAAGGCAGCAGAUACGUUCGUCGCAAUGCCAUAUUCAUGUCCGGAUGGGAGGCAAUCCCUUGGAUUUGAAAGGGAAGAUGAGAUGGACUCGGUGUGUGUUUGGAACCUAGAAUGCAUUCCUUCAUCGAACAGUGUUGAUUCCAUGGGUCCUAGGCUGUGGGGAAUGGCCGGCAUCUACAGUGAGGUGGCUGUUUGUGGUCAGAUGCAGACUUUGAUGAUGUCAUUUUUCAAAGGUGAAGUUUCAUAAUUGAUUAGUCUUUUCAUCAAAAGAGUUACAAUUAGGGUCAAGGGAAGAUUAAAAAUUAUUCAAAGUAGACAUUUACCAUUUAAAAGGAAAGCUUGACUUUCUAGUUUGACUCAGUGUAUUGUCUAGCUAUUUGGACGUGCUGUAUUUUCUCUGCAGUUUCCUUUGUGGUGGAGUCAGAAUGAUGAGGGAGCAGGAGGCUGGCUGAGGACAAAGCAAGAGCUGGCGCCUUGCAACCCCCCCCCUUCAUCCGCUCCCCUCCAUAGGUGUAGCAUUCCUCAGGCACCCCUGACUGCCAUAAAAUGAUAAAUAGUUAACUUGCUGAGAUAAACCUAAAUAUCAUUAACAAGGAUGCUUGAUAGCAGGAAUGUAACAUUCCACCAGACUUCCAAUUGUCUUUACUUGAUAGCAACUAAGCCUUCGAUAUCCUGAUAGUAUUCUUUGCCCCAAUAGCCCUUCUGAACACCCCUUUGUCCUCACCUACCCAACUCCUGUGUAUAUAACCAACCACCCCUCACAACCCGGGGCAGACGCAUCUCCGCCUGCCCACGGGCCCUGUCCCCGUGCUCUAAUAAAUCACCUUUCGCACCAACGACGUCUUAAGAAUUCUUUCUUUAGUCGUCGGCUCCGAACCUCCUCACCCCACCGAACCUGACUUAGGUUCUGGGACUUCAUCAUUUUUGGCGAGCCAGCCAGGAGGUUUGUGAGUCUUUACAUUUGGACUCUGAGCUUCGGUGCAAAAUUGGUGAGUACUUU